GUCGAGUUGUUUGGGAAUGCUGCNCAAAAUGGGAGGUAAACCCCUUCUAAAGCUAAAUAUUGGCCAGAGACCGAUAGCGCACAAGUAGAGUGAUCGAAAGAUGAAAAGCACUUUGAAAAGAGAGUUAAACAGCACGUGAAAUUGUUGAAAGGGAAGCGCUUGCGACCAGACUUGUGCUCGUCGAAUCAGCCGUCGCUCGUCGGCGGCGCAUUUCGGCGGGCUCAGGCCAGCAUCAGUUCGCUGUAGGGGGAGAAAGGCGGUAGGAAUGUGGCUCUUCGGAGUGUUAUAGCCUGCCGUGUAAUACCCCUCGGCGGACUGAGGACCGCGCAUCUGCAAGGAUGCUGGCGUAAUGGUUGUCAGCGACCCGUCUUGAAA
rnacentral:rRNA from 1 species